rnacentral:lncRNA from 1 species
CCAUCAUUAAAUAAAGGAUAAAUUAUAAAAGCCCACUUGAUAUUUAUGUUUAUUAUAUUUAUAUCUAACGGUUUGAUAAAUAUAUGCUUACACCUAAUUAAAUUAAUAAUAUUUAAAUAACUAUUUAUUAUAUAUAAAAAAUUAAAAUUAUCCUUUUCACCUUCCUAUCAGCAUCCCAUCACUCUCUCCCCGAUGGCGACCCCACCGGCAGCGCCCUACAAUAGGAUGGGAAAGAUGGAAGAAGAAGAGGUGGAGGAAUAGGAGAAUGAACUGGGAGGAAGAGAAAUUAUUGUAGGUACAUGCUUAAUGAUAGCAUCCAUCAUUAAAUAAAAAGGCUUUGGACACUAGAAACCAUUGAAGGUACAUGCCUAUAUCCUUAUUACAAACUUCUUCAUAAUCCACCUAAGCUAAAUCUUUGAAGC